CUAGAGAAUGAGAUCUGAGCUGAUGAAAAAUAGGAAGUGAACAAAUAUUUAGGAUAAUCUCAUAAGGUCAGAUUUUAGUAUGAAUUUUUCAGUGCCAUGGUAAUUGCUGCUUUUAAACCAUUAAAUUAUUGCUGGCUGAGCCAUUAGACACCUCAUUUGAAACUAACCUACACAUUGGUUGAAUUGUGCUAGAGGUGUUCUCUACCGGCCACUCACAUCCGCAAGAUCUCAUUGCACCCCCACCUUUCUUUCGGUCAAUCUGUACUUCAUAGGGUCUCUCUCUCUCUCUCUCUCUCUCUCUCUCUCUACAAGGACAUUGGACGUCUAUGUCAAUUGUAAUGGUCCAGAGACGUACUUCAGUGUUUGCUCCACCUUUAGCCAGCACCACCCACCCCUUUUGAUCUGAAAGUUUGGGGAUUGAAGUCACCUUUUGUAGCUUAAGAGAAACUAGAAAAUUUUGGGUACUUGAAAUCUUUGCUAAGCAUGAACGUAAUCAGGAUUAAGCUUAGGUUUUACCUUGUAAAGCAUUGUGUGGCGUAGAUAACCCGUUUUGCUUUGCCUGUAUAGUUGACACCUGCACACAAGAUUAUCCAAAUUAGAUCAUCAGUUCUAUUGUUUAUCCUUUAAUAUGAUACUUAUCUUUGAAAAAAGGAGGUAAAUCUCAUACCUAUCAUUCUUCUCGUAGGUCAACAACGUUAUUUAAAUGACAGCAAUCAGCAAGGAUUGGAUUUGAGGCAAAAAGAAGAACAAAAUGAAUUAGGUUAGAAUAACGGUGUGCUUUCUGUCCUGAGAUUAUAAAAUUACUGUGUUACCUAACUUCUCCACUUGUAAUAUGAAGUUAAGAACUAAUGGUAGAUCAUUAGCAUGUUAAACAUCCACGUAAACGUUGUACGAAAUUUGUAAUCACAUAUUAAAGUAAGUAGAUUUCUAAUUAAUCAGCUUUGGAUAAGUCCUACUUUGGCUACCUGCUCCUGUCAAAGAAGCUCCUUAUUGUAGAAGGUAGAUUUAGAAGAUAAUCUUGCUUUAGCUGCCUAAAUUAACCCAACUUAGAGCGAAAGGAAGGUGAGAUUAACAAGUAAU
rnacentral:lncRNA from 1 species